CCUUUUCUGAAGAAAAAUAUUCACUUGUUUGCAUUAGUUAUGGUAUUGACAUUUAAGCAAACAACACUUUAUAAUCCUUUGCAGUACAACAUUGGGUGCUGGUUAGGGUUUGCUGUCCUGAAUGUUGGAGGACAAUUGCACACAUCUCUGAGAAGCCAUUCUGCUUCUGCUAAGCUAGUGUUCUUCCCUAGAAGUCAUUUCAAUGCUGUCAUUAUGGAGUACUGCCCCGACUUCCCAUUUCUUCUUCUAGACUGGGUGGAACACAGAACAGUGAAGCUUCCCUUUACUUUCCUCCCAGAGCCCGCAGCCUAAAGGAAGCCUAAAGGAAGCUGGAAAUCAACACUGUUUCCAAGAGUUGGAGUAAACAACAAUGAAAGUCACCAAUAACAAUGACAAUGAAAUGUCGCUAUGCCUCAAAUCUACCAAUUUGUCAAAAUUUGAUUAAAAUGAAUUGGAAAACAAGUUCACUAAAGGAAGAUAUAUAGCCUAGAGAUGUGUGGGGACCAAGCAAGGGAUAUUUUCAUCCAAAGAAGCUAAUUAUAUGCACAGAGACCUCAGUUUCCCUUGAGAAUCAGUUGGCAGAAACUUUUCCUCUCUCAUGCCACCUGCAUCUUCUCUCCAUAACUUGCUGCUCACUUCUUCCCCCCAGCAUCCUCCCUCUUGGUCCUGGCUGUCCAUCCCUGUGGCCCCCAUGCUGACUUCAGAUUUUCUACUUCCUCUCCUCCUCACUCUUCGGGAAAGAUAAAGAUAAGGCUAAUUUCUCUCCAUUAGCUUUUCAAAUUCCUUCCUCACCUCUCUUCAGGCAGGACAAUAAGAUGGUUAAGUGCACAAGUUUGAACCCCAGCCUAUCUCCUUAACUGCCAUGAGAUCUACCUCACAGAAGUGUUAUAAAGAAUGAGUGAGUUUGUGCACGUAAAGCAUCAAAGGCCAGAAUAAGCCCUCAGUGAAUAGUGGUUAUUAUCGUUAUUAGGAACAAUUUAGUUUCACUGUGCUCAGCAAAUACAACAUCCCUGUGCCACCAGCGUACAAUCCCCUCACUAUAUGUAUUCAAGGUCCUACCCCUUUCAGCUACACUUAGGCCUGUGAGGAGGAGGGAAGAGGAAUGCUGUCACCUUCCAAGACUUUUAUCUGGAACAGCCUUUAUCUCUUUCACUGUGGGGAUUUUCCCCAGUCUCUUUUGUUCUCUGUUUCAGAGCUUAUUUUGCCUCCCUUUUGUGUUACAUUCCCUUCUAUAGGAGGGUAGAGUUGCCCUAUUUACAAGAGUAGCUAUCACCAUGGUAACUUGGUAUUUUGAUACAGGCAUGAAACAAUCCCGAGGGAAAAAUAGGUCCCUUAUUUUUCAACUUUGGCAUGUAGAUGUAUGAGAAUCAAAAUACUUGCCCAGCAUAAUAUAGCUGGUUCAAAUGUCAAAGCAAAGAAACAAGUUUUCUUGAUAUUUUAAAUAAGUAUUGAGCAACCACAGCAUGCUAUCAAUUGAGCAGAACAUUCUCACAAUUAAUUUCUGCCUCUUAGGCACGAAAGCUUGCAGGCAACAUGGCAUAUACUUCCGUGAACUCAUUCUCUGAAUGAAAAAAUUGGUACCCAUGGUCAGACAAAGAACUGUCAAGUUCACUCAAAUUGCAAAAGGAGUCGUGAAAGAAGUCAUUUGAAGUUUCUGGAAUAUUUUGGUUGUUUAUUGAAGGGGAACAAGACAGAAAAUUUUAAAAUCAGCGUCUUCUGAAUGGGUCAGAGGAACUUGCUUGCUGUCUAUAUCAUUUGUACAUUGCAUAUGGAAGAAGGAGCAGCUGGUUUUGAUUAUUGAAGGCCUACAGUGUUCCAGACUCCCUAAGGUCUCUACAGAAGAGAUCUUUGGGGAAUAUGAGUAAAGUGACACACUAUGACCAACUACCUGCGGAGACACUUUUAAAGAAAAAUAUUUAAUUGUGAAUUUGAUGCCAUAUUGAUAUCUCCCUGACUUGCUAGUAAAGGAGAAUGAAGCUUUUCUUUAAAAACAAAACAAAGGCAUUUGGUGAGUUGAAAUGCUGAGUUAUACACACUUUGGGAAGAGUUAUAUAAUGUUAUCUCUUUCUGAUAUAAGGAUAAGGGACAUAUCACUUGGAAAGUGAUCACUUUCCAAGCUCACUCUUUUUCAUGAAGAAGUAGCAUAAUGAUAAUCAAAAUAGUAAGAGCUAAUUGAGUUGUUACUGUAUAUUCAAAGCACUUCAUGCAUAUUAACUCAUUUACUACUCAGAAC
rnacentral:lncRNA from 1 species